rnacentral:rRNA from 1 species
UACGUAGGGUGCGAGCGUUAAUCGGAAUUACUGGGCGUAAAGCGUGCGCAGGCGGUUCGUUGUGUCGGCGGUGAAAGCCCCGGGCUUAACCUGGGAAUGGCCGUUGAAACUGGCGAACUGGAGUGUGGCAGAGGGGGGUGGAAUUCCGCGUGUAGCAGUGAAAUGCGUAGAGAUAUGGAGGAACACCGAUGGCGAAGGCAGCCUCCUGGACCAAUAUUGACGCUCAGGCACGAAAGCGUGGGGAGCAAACAGG